GAUGAACGCUGGCGGCGUGCUUAACACAUGCAAGUCGAACGGUGAAGCAGGAGCUUGCUCCUGUGGAUCAGUGGCGAACGGGUGAGUAACACGUGAGCAAUCUGCCCUGGACUCUGGGAUAAGCGUUGGAAACGACGUCUAAUACCGGAUACGAGGCGUGGGGGCAUCCCCAACGCCUGGAAAGAACUUCGGUCCAGGAUGAGCUCGCGGCCUAUCAGGUAGUUGGUGAGGUAACGGCUCACCAAGCCUACGACGGGUAGCCGGCCUGAGAGGGUGACCGGCCACACUGGGACUGAGACACGGCCCAGACUCCUACGGGAGGCAGCAGUGGGGAAUAUUGCACAAUGGGCGCAAGCCUGAUGCAGCAACGCCGCGUGAGGGACGACGGCCUUCGGGUUGUAAACCUCUUUUAGCAGGGAAGAAGCGAAAGUGACGGUACCUGCAGAAAAAGCACCGGCUAACUACGUGCCAGCCGCCGCCGUAA
rnacentral:rRNA from 1 species